rnacentral:lncRNA from 1 species
UUCGCUUACGACCUCUUUAAUUAUAUACGGUUAUUUCCAAUUUGGCGAUAGUUUUCCUUUGUCCUGUUCUUUGGUCGUUAGGAGGGCAUUUCUUAGUACCAGAUCCCUUUUCUUGAGUCCUUUUUCUUUUAUCUUUGAGUUGUAAUAUUUUUCGACUAAUCUCUUGUACUUUUCUUCUUUUAUACUGGCUUAUUCUCUAAUCUCUUCCAGGUUUUCUUGUUCCACUAGCAUUAUCUUCUGCGUUGUAACAUUUUAUAUUUGCUGUUGGCCAUACCAGUUCUGCUGGAGCGACGACCUCUAGUCCGAAAGCAAGUUUGUAUGGGAUUUGUCCUGUUGCAGUUUUGUACGUGGUGCGAUAUGCCCAUAAAACCCCGGGAAUUGUGUCGUCCCAUGUUUUUGGGUCUUCUCCCGCUUUUUUCUUUAGAAUAUUGAUGAUGGUUUUAUUUACAGCUUCUACCUGUCCGUUUGUUAAUUUGUGGGUGGUGAACUGAUGUGAAACUUAACUUUAUUUUACUAUCUUUGCAGAAAUUCUUCAUUGCUUUUCCCGCGAACUGUGUUCCGUUAUUUGUGAUGAUCUGGAUUGAGACUUCGAAUUUGCAGAUGAUGUUUCUGAACACGAAUUUAAUUGCGUUAUCCUGAGUUAUGGAUUUGACCGGUUAUGCCUCAGCUCAUUUGGUGAAAUAUUCGAUGGCUACAAAAGCGUAUUUUCUACCUUUACUUGUGACUGGGAAAGGUCCGAUUAUGCCCAAGCCUCAUCUGGCGAAAGGUACGAUUGUGUUAAGGGAGGUUAGUUUGAUAGACGGACGAUGUUGUAUAUUUGCGUAUUUCUGGCAUUCUGGGCAUUUUUUCACUAUUUCACAUGUGUCCUGUUUCAUAGACGGUCAGAAAUAUCUUUGUCUUGAUACUUGGAGGUAUAGCCUUCUGGAGCCUUGGUGGGCACCACCAUCUCCGCUGUGGAUGCUUAAGGCAACAUCUUUUCCUUCUUCCUUUGAGACGCAAGUGCAGAGUGGAAAGGUGUUUGUCUCUCUUCUGUAUAGUUCUUCUUCUUGUAGGAUGUAGUGAGCUACAUGAUUCCUAAUUUUUCUUUCUUCGAACCUGUCUCCUUUGAAUUCCAUGCCUUUUAUGAAAUUGAUUAUUUCUUUUCUCCAAUCGUCUUUGGAGAUUGCAAUUUCUAAGUUUUCCUAUAUUGAAGGGAAGAUUAGGGUACUUACCUGUAUCCAUUUCUCCUGAGAUGAGCUUUUUGCUACUCUGAGCUUAACUAAGGCGUACAUCUGCUUCUUCGAUAUGAUCCCUUUUUACUAGGUUUAUUUUAAUUGAAUCAAAAUUUUGCAUUGCUUUAAGGGUUGCCUCUUUGUAAUCCUUCACACUCCGUUCUUUUACUUCAUAUUGGCCUUGUACUUGAUUGGCUACUAACUGUGAAUCUAUGUUGAUCACAAGGUUUUUGAUUUUUAGCUCCUUGGCUAAGUCUAAUCCUGCGAGUAGGGCUUCGUAUUCUGAUGCGUUAUUGGUGGUUUGGAAGUUAAAGUGGAAUGCUUUUUCUAAGCGUAAUCCUUCUGGGUUUUUUAAGAUGAUUCUUGCACUACAACUCUUUUUUCCUACUGAGCCAUCUACUUGUAAUUCUCAGAUUUAUAGUGUGAUAUUGGUACAUGCUGGGUUCGGUGUUAAUUCUGCUAUGAAGUCUGCUAAGGCUUGGGUUUUGAUGGCUUUAGCUAGAACGAAUUUGAUAUCGUAUCCGUUUAACUCGAUAGCCCAUUUAGCUAACCUUCCAGACAGGUCGGGUUUUUGUAAUGUUUGCAGAAGAGGAUGGUUUGUUGGUAUAAUAAUUGAAUGGGCUUGAAAAUAGGCUCUAAGUUUUCUAGCGUUGCUGACGACUGCUAGAGCUAGUUUUUCUAAGAGGGGUAUCUGCAUUCCGCUCCUUGUAAGGUUUUUGAAAAAUAAAAGAAUGGGUUUUGUGUUUUGCUGUUAUCUAUUACCAGCACUACACUUAUUGACAUUUCAGAUCCUGCUACGUAUAAUGGUUGACUUGUGUUUGGUGGUUGUAGAGUAGGUAGUUUCUUCAAGGUUGCUUUUAGCUCCUCAAAGGCAUUUGUAUAAUCCUCACUCCAUUCAAUGUUUUUGCUUGGAUUUAUGAGGAUUUUGAAGAAGGGCUUACAUUUGUCAGUGCUUCUAGGAAUGAAUCUUCCUAUAGGGCUGCGAUUUUGCUGUUAAGUUUUUGUAACUCUUUUAGGGUUUUGGGAGGCUUCAUGUUUGUAAUAGCUUCUACCUUUUCAGAUUGAGGUUUAAUUCCUUCGUGGGAAAUGAGGUAUCCUAAGAACUUUCCUUCAAGUACCCCGAAGGCAUAUUUCUCGGAUUUUAGCUUAAUUCCUACUUUCCUAAUUUUGCCGAAGGUUUCGUUUAGGUGUUCCUCUGUUUCCAUUGACUUGACCAAAAUGUCAUCAACAUAUACUUCUAUAUUUUUUCCGAUUUGAUUUUUGAAGACUUUAUCCAUUAGUCUUUGGAAAGUGGCGUUUGCAUUUUUCAAUCCGAAGGGUAUGACUGUAUAAUAGAAGGUUCCUGCUUUUGUUAUAAAAGUUGUUUUCUUUGUUCAUUUUUACUUGGUUAUAUCCUGAAUGAGCAUCCAUAAAACUUAAGAUCUUACUCCCAGUGCUUCUAUCUACUAAAGUGUCGAUUGAGGGUAGAGGGUAGUUGUCUUUUGGAGAGUAGCAUGUUUUGGCUAUUUGUUGAGAUCCUUUUACGCAACAGAUGCCAUUUGGUGUAGCGAAUUUUAAAUAUUGGUGGUAGGAGGAGACUGCUGCGAAUUCGUGCAAGGCAGUCCUUCCUAAGAUGGCGUUGUAGCUUGAGUUGAACCUGUGCUCUUCUUGUCCUAGAGUUACUGGUAGGGUUAUGGUUCCAGCGACCAGGACCUUCAUUUGUUCAAAUCCUUUUAUCAGGAUGUUGUUUGGGGAUAGGUCGGUUUCUUCGAGCCCUAAAUUUUUAAAUGCAUCCCAGUAUAUUACAUCAAACGAAGCUCCUGUGUCGAUCAUAGGGGAAAUAAUCAGAGGGUUCAAAUGUGGGAAUUUUAUUUCUUCAGUAUCUUCUUCCGAGAAGAAGAUCAUUUCUUUCCUUGGUCUUUUUCCAUGUAAGGUUGAGGUUUGGACCGUUUUGACAUCGUUACCUCCUAGUGUCAUAAACAUUGUUCCUUUGAGGUUUUGUUUGUCCUUUGGGGGUCCGGGAAGUUUUUCAUGAGCUCGGUAUUUUUCUAUUUCUCUUGCUAGGGUCCUGUAUUCCUCGGUUGUGUGACCUUGGUCUUGAUGAUAUUCGCAAUAUCUGCCGUUAGAUCUAUAGGGGAGAGUUCGGGUAUCUAGUGGUUUUGCUGGCUCGAUAAUGCCCUUACUCUUUAGGUUUCUGAAUAUUUUUUUUAGUCAGGUAUUGGAUUCGUGGUGUUGGUUCUAGAUGGAUCCAUUAUUGUUCGGUUAUUCCUAUUUUGGUUUCUAGAAAGUCUCGGGGUCUGCCAAUCGAGAACUUCUUUCAUUCGCUGGUCCAUGGUUUCCUCUGCAUCCAUUUCUUUGUAGGCUCUUUCCAUAGUUUCAGAGAGGGAAGUGGGGGGUUUGUUUGUCAUUUUGAGUAAGAACUUUGUCGGUCUUAGCCCUGCGCAUAGGGCCAUGAUGGUGUCACCAUCAUUGGGUCUUGCUACUCUCAUUAAGGUUUCGUUGAACCUUGUAAUGUAUCCUCGUAAGCUUUCGUUUGGUCCUUGUUUGAUGUUUUAAUAACAUCCCUAUGUUAACCCUUCUUUUUAUUAGGUGGCUGAAAGCCUCCAGGAACCUUUCUUUUAAAUCUUCGAAGCAUUGAAUACUGCCAGCUGGUAAAUCUGUGUACCAGUUCAUGGCAUUGCCUUCUAGAGUUCUGACGAACAUGCGGCACCACAGAUCUUUCCUGUCUGUUACAUCUUCUAUAUUUGCUAAAAAAUUUACUAUAUGAAACUCUGAUUCUGAGGUUCCUUUAAAUUCUGACAAUUUGGGCCUUGCCCAUUUCUCGGGAUAUUUUUCCGAGAUUAAGUGGGCUGCUAAAGUCCCAGUUUCUCUAUGUAGGCCUCUUCUUGCCUACACUGCAUUUUGAUCAAAACUCUUACGAGUUCGAUCUUUAUAACCUGUUUCUUGUGGGCCUACAUUUGGCCCAUAGUGCUUGUUUGAUGUUUGAUCUUUAUAACCUGUUUCCCGUGGGCUUACGCUUGGCCCAUUAUACCUGUUUGAUGUUUGAUUUUUCUGACCUAUUUCCCGCAGGCUUGUACUCGACCCAUUAUAGCUGUUUGAUACCUGUUUUGCUUCGGAUAGAAGCUCUACCUGCUUUUGUAGUUUUUCUAAUUUCCGCAGAAGGCGUUCUACCCUAUAACGUCUUCUUUCUUCUUCCUCGAUCUCGCAUCGAUGGCCACGGGAGAGCUCUGAUUCCUUUCUCCUUUUCUUCCUGGGCUUCGUCGUUUUUCGUGUUGGGGAUUUGCCUCAACGUGUUUCCCCAUGAUCGUUUCUUCAUAUUUUUCUAGCCGUACUUCAUGGUUAGCCGGUGUCGUUGUUACUGCGGCGCCAUUUGUUUCUUCUUCUUCCAGAGGUUGAGCUGAGAUUUCUUUUCCAGAUGUUGGGCUCCUAAUUUUCUCCUCCGUGAAUGGCUAUGUGAGGUCGAGUGAUGGAACGUUCACGUCCGGUUCACCAAUGUUGGAGUUCAUGUUCGAGGGAUUGGGUUUGGGUAGAAUAAUUGGGUCUUCAAGUUAGCGAGAGUUGGUAGUGGAGUAUGAAUUUCUUAUCCUCGCAGUGCAGCCGGGCGGAGACUUUUAUAGCUGCUUUGGUUCACUUAGAUCGCGGUAGCUGUCCGACCAGGUGUCCUUGUUGUUUUGACACCUGGUAGGUUAGGCGUCGGGCUGUAAUUGGGUGGGUAUAAAUGGUGUUUGACCCCUAAACACUAAUGCAAUUUCAAGUGAGUUUUUCUUGUCACUUGUGCAAUUUUAGGGUUUCAUUUCCCUAAAAAUUCAUCAUCAUCACUAUGUCUGUAAAUUUAAAUUUGCAAAUGUGUGAUACAGACAAUGAAGUAUGGACUAUUCAGUAAUAGUAUUUGACACUUCACUGACUAGUCAAACACUUGGGCUAUUGCAGUUUCCAUCAAAUUUAGAAAAGGAUCUAUCGAUCCAAGAUUACGGGCUUGUAGAAUAGAUUGGGUAGUUUGCUGACUGAGGUAUUAUAUAUUUGUAUUAUAGUUUGAGACAAAUAGAUUGAAAAUUAAUUUACACAAAAUCAAUAAUUCUAUGGGUUGAUCAUUGAGAGCAAAAAACACUAUCAAUUUUCUAAUUUUCUUCUUGUUCUUCAUGUUUUACUUCACUGCAGGCUACACGACUAAGGAUGCAGUACUAAGGAAGCUGAGGGAAUGAAAGAUGUGAUAGAAAAAGUUAAUAAACAAUUGAAAGAUCUAGUGAGUUUUGUUUUGAAAGGCAAUUUUAUAAAAUAAAAGUAGGCGACCUAUAUCCAACAAAAUAAAACAGUAGAUAGAAUGGGUGAUUAAAGAGAGUGAUUAGAUUGGCUCUAUUACAAACUUAUGCCUAAAGUAAAUCAUAAACUCACUUGUUAGUACAAACUAUUUUAAUUGCUAAUUUUUUGAAAGCAUUUUAAUUGAUAAUUAACUACUAUUAAUAAAGGAUACAAUUUUUUAGCUUCACUGGUAAUUUCUUCUCUCGCAAUGUCAUUCCUUCAGCUAAACGUGUUUGUAUUCCUUGAUCAAUCUAAUCAGUAAUUGAAUCUUGAAACUCCUCUGAAUCACUGUAGCAUUCUGAAUUAUCUAAAUCUUCUGCUGCAGAAUCCAAAUCCUCAGACUGUUGUUUCCUCUCUAUUAAUAAAAAUUUUAAUAUCUUUGUUGAUCAAUUAAUUCUGCUGGUAAUAUGAUACUCACUGCCAUACUAUCUUUUUUGCUCGAUUUAUAAUUUUUCUGAAUUAUGUAUUGACAACAUUUUUUUUGUGAUUUCUGAACACUCCCAUAAUAUGAGAUCAACUCACAUAAUUUUUCUAAACAUGAGAUCAACUCACAUAAUAUAAAUUAUAAAUCAAGUUUUAUUAAGAAGGUUGGUAGUUGUAUUAUAAACUCCAUCUACCUAUCAUUAUCAAACAGUUCUUUAUAUUUUUUACUGUCUUUUUUAA